rnacentral:rRNA from 1 species
UACAGAGGUCUCAAGCGUUGUUCGGAUUCAUUGGGCGUAAAGGGUGCGUAGGUGGCGCUGUAAGUCAGGUGUGAAAUUUCGGAGCUUAACUCCGAAACUGCAUUUGAUACUGCGGUGCUUGAGGACUGGAGAGGAGAUUGGAAUUCACGGUGUAGCAGUGAAAUGCGUAGAUAUCGUGAGGAACACCAGAGGCGAAGGCGGCUACCUGGACAAUUGCUGACGCUCAGGCACGAAAGCGUGGGGAGCAAAAGGG